rnacentral:rRNA from 1 species
CCCAGACUCCUACGGGAGGCAGCAGUGAGGAAUAUUGGUCAAUGGGAGAGAUCCUGAACCAGCCAAGCCGCGUGAGGGAAGACGGCCCUACGGGUUGUAAACCUCUUUUGUCGGAGAACAAAACCCGGGACGUGUCCCGGACUGCGUGUAUCCGAAGAAAAAGCAUCGGCUAACUCCGUGCCAGCAGCCGCGGUAAUACGGAGGAUGCGAGCGUUAUCCGGAUUUAUUGGGUUUAAAGGGUGCGCAGGCGGAAUGUCAAGUCAGCGGUAAAAUUUCGGGGCUCAACCCCGUCGUGCCGUUGAAACUGGCGUUCUUGAGUGAGCGAGAAGUAUGCGGAAUGCGUGGUGUAGCGGUGAGAUGCAUAGAUAUCACGCAGAACCCCGAUUGCGAAGGCAGCAUGCCGGCUUCCUACUGGCGCUGAAGCACGAAAGCGUGGGGAUCGAACAGGAUUAGAUACCCCUGUAC